GUUACAUUGCGAGAGGAGCGCAGCCAUUACACUUGAUCUUAAAUCUUUAGAAAACGUCGUGCGGAUUGCACUGGCCAAUCAGUUUUCUCUACAAAUUCCGUGACAGUAUUCUGAAAUUAGCACUCAAAUCCGAGCGGGAUUUUCGCGAUCUCUGCUUAGGAAAGUUGUGAAACUUUAUAAACCGGGUUACUUCACAAGGUGUAGCGCGUCUGCUAGUGUCAGUGUUUCUCAGCUCGCAUCUCACGCGCGCUUUGAUGCAGCGCGAUGAUGGGCACACCUCUGAAGAACGAGCCGUCUGCUGCUGGUUGCAUGCCGUUGUGUUCUGACCUUACGUCUACCGGCGACUCGACUGCACGAGCAUCAUCACAGCAGCGCGAGCAGAUCGAGGCCCCGACUCCUGUUUUACUCUCCGCUAAACAAUGUCCACAAAAUUGGCAGGUGGUCGAGGGAUUGAAGCUGUUUCCACAUCUUCUGAGUUCACCCAUGGUGCCAUCGUGCACCUCAUCGAAGCGAUGCAGAGGUGCUGGGAUGUUUACAGCUCACGCGAGCGCUCGCUUCUCUUCCAGAGCGUUCAGAAAGAACUGGAAAGCCACGGUCACUCCUUACCCGUAGAGAAGAUUCGCCGCAAAUGGAAUAACCUCAUUGUUACAUACAAAAGAGUUAAAGAUCGCAGCUCGUUGUGUGGAGGCCAAACAAAGACCUCAUGGGAGUACUUCGAAAUGAUGGAUAAUAUACUAGGAAAGACUAAAUUUGCUCAGAGAGGCCCUGCUUCAGCCACUCUUGUUGGAUUUGCAACCACAGCCAAAGCAGGUGUAAGAUCAGAGGAUCAUGCGUCUAACAGCAUGCCGGUGGCUGCAAUGACCGCCUCGUGCCUCCUUCCCACUGGAAUCAUCACAUCCUCUUCCCAGAUCCCUACUCUUGUGACGUCCCCGGUGCUGUGCAAAGUUACCCCAAAAUUAAACCCCAGCCCCUCUUGUAGCACAGACACACCUCUGCCCUCCCUUUCACCAAAGCCAGUGCCGCUGGUGAACCGUCAGCCGCUGAAGCGGAGGCUACACCAUCUUCGGCUCAACUCCAUGGCCUCUCGUGUAGCUCAGCAGCAGGGGCAAUCUGAGGAACGCACCGCUCUUCUUCGCAGUUUCCUCACCGCUCAAGAAGAGCGCAUCCAUUUAGACGAGCAACACCAACGCAAGGUAGAUGUGCGUGAGCGACGCAAGGAAAAAUCAGCACGGGCCAUGGCUGAUGCGAUGGGGAGGAUGGCGACGGCACUGGAGCUGAUCUCAUCCAAGCAGGACACCAUUAUCGCUCUACUCCAGAGACUGGCUGAUAAGCACUAAUAUUGCUUUUAUAACAAAAUUGCAUUUAAUUUAAAGUAUAUAAAGUGUGUCCUGUUGUUCAUGGUACAAGUAAUUGAUUUGGGAACCUGUUUCUAGUUGAAAAAGCUUGAACGAUACUGGAAAACAUGGACUCUUUAACAUUAACAAUAUAUACAGAGCCUAUAAAAAUUAUUCCUUCCUUGUAAGUUUUCAUGUUUCACUGUUUCGCAAAGGGUUUUAUUUGGCUAUUUUGACAGUGAAUAACAGUAUUGUUUGAGUCCGUACAAAACUUAUUACAGUUAUGAAUAAUAAUAAUAAAACUCUUCUUUUUGAAGAUGUGUAGUUUUAAAAGUAAAAAUAAGAUUGCAUUUGUUUUAAUUAUUGUUGCCCUCAAGUGAACACUGGCAUAACACACACCACACACACUGCUCUUAUUCAGCAAUAUGCGUCUUUAGCCGUUCACAGGCCCCAGCUCUUAUUCUGAUACUCAGUUUUUAAUACUGUUUUGGAUAUAAAUCAGCUUUACUUGCAGUGAGUCGUUCCCAAGCUGAAC
ensembl:lncRNA